rnacentral:rRNA from 1 species
GGCCUUCGAGUGAAUGGUUAUAUUAUCCGCCUAGAGAGAAGCUCGCGGCUGAUUAGCUUGUUGGUAAGGUAAGAGCUUACCAAGGCGNCGAUCAGUAUCUGGUUUGAGAGGCGAUCAGACACACUGGAACUGAGACACGGUCCAGACUCCUACGGGAGGCAGCAGUGGGGAAUUUUCCGCAAUGGGCGAAAGCUGACGGAGCAAUACCGCGUGAGGGAAGACUGCCUAUGGGUUGUAAACCUCUUUUUUCAGGGAGGAAUCAAUGACGUGUACCUGAAGAAUAAGC